AGGGUUCGAUUCUGGCUCAGGAUGAACGCUGGCGGCGUGCUUAACACAUGCAAGUCGAACGGGAUCCAUCAAGCUUGCUUGGUGGUGAGAGUGGCGAACGGGUGAGUAAUGCGUGACCGACCUGCCCCAUACACCGGAAUAGCUCCUGGAAACGGGUGGUAAUGCCGGAUGCUCCAGUUGGAUGCAUGUCCUUCUGGGAAAGAUUCUAUCGGUAUGGGAUGGGGUCGCGUCCUAUCAGCUUGAUGGCGGGGUAACGGCCCACCAUGGCUUCGACGGGUAGCCGGCCUGAGAGGGCGACCGGCCACAUUGGGACUGAGAUACGGCCCAGACUCCUACGGGAGGCAGCAGUGGGGAAUAUUGCACAAUGGGCGCAAGCCUGAUGCAGCGACGCCGCGUGCGGGAUGACGGCCUUCGGGUUGUAAACCGCUUUUGACUGGGAGCAAGCCCUUCGGGGUGAGUGUACCUUUCGAAUAAGCACCGGCUAACUACGUGCCAGCAGCCGCGGUAAUACGUAGGGUGCAAGCGUUAUCCGGAAUUAUUGGGCGUAAAGGGCUCGUAGGCGGUUCGUCGCGUCCGGUGUGAAAGUCCAUCGCUUAACGGUGGAUCCGCGCCGGGUACGGGCGGGCUUGAGUGCGGUAGGGGAGACUGGAAUUCCCGGUGUAACGGUGGAAUGUGUAGAUAUCGGGAAGAACACCAAUGGCGAAGGCAGGUCUCUGGGCCGUCACUGACGCUGAGGAGCGAAAGCGUGGGGAGCGAACAGGAUUAGAUACCCUGGUAGUCCACGCCGUAAACG
rnacentral:rRNA from 1 species